CGCGGGAUGGAGCAGCAUGGUAACUCGUCGGGCUCAUAACCCGAAGGUCGUAGGUUCAAUCUACUCCCGCAACCA
rnacentral:tRNA from 1 species